CUACGUGCCAGCAGCCGCGGUAAUACGUAGGGGGCAAGCGUUAUCCGGAUUUACUGGGUGUAAAGGGAGCGUAGGCGGUCUGACAAGUCAGAAGUGAAAGCCCGGGGCUCAACCUCGGGACUGCUUUUGAAACUGCCGGACUAGAUUGCAGGAGAGGUAAGUGGAAUUCCUAGUGUAGCGGUGAAAUGCGUAGAUAUUAGGAGGAACACCAGUGGCGAAGGCGGCUUACUGGACUGUAAAUGACGCUGAGGCUCGAAAGCGUGGGGAGCA
rnacentral:rRNA from 1 species